CGGACCAGCACGCAGUUGUGCUCUAUGGAGGAGGGCCACAUGUGAUGUUCCAUACGCGACUGGAAGUGCACCAACAGCAACCAUAUCACAUCCAUCUGUAGAAGAAAGAAAAUCAAGUAAAGUAAGUGGAGAUGCAUACAAUUCAGUUUCGUCGGCAACAAUGAAUUGGGCGAAUGAUCCGAGGCCAGCAAAGGAGCAAACGGCGUUGCGAUUUUGAACUUUGUGACAUUGGAUCCCACCGACUCGACGGUGCCCGAGUAAUCGGAUCCAGGUAUGAAGGGUAAAGGUGGCUUUUCUUGGUACUUGCCGAGGAUUUGAAGGUAAUUGGCGAAGUUCAAGCUGUUGGCUUUGACUCGGACUCUCCCUGCUGUAGGUGAGUUGAGUUGUGGAAUCGGGUGAGCCUUUGAGAGAGUUAAUGGCGAAUUAUCCGAAUCGUCUACAGUCUACUCGUAUAGUUGGGUCACCAAGUUUUCUGCAGAGUAAAGCUUGCAUUCUUCUCCCUCGCUCAAUCCUCUCUUAGUUCAGUAGCAUACUAAAUGGAUAUAGCCUAAGCUCCAGGACAGUUGCUUAAUAAUGAUCGGUUAGUUUGUUCCUUUCCUUUAAUUAUAGGUUUUGCAAGUGGGGAAAUACCUGUUAUCCCAGCAAAUAUUAAAAAAAAAAAGAGGUUGAACCCCAACCUUGAGGGCCCCCACGGCCUUGCCCUUAGAGUUUUAUGAAGGAAGUAAAUCGCGGGAUGUACCCCAACAGAUCAGGCAGGGAACAAGAGCUCUUGUGAAGAACUAGACAAUUCAUGGACUCUUUUGGGGAAGCUAUAAAAUACAUCGACCAGCUGUACUUGAAGAUUCUUUGAAGGAGCUCGCAUCCUGGCU